rnacentral:lncRNA from 1 species
UUGUUUAUAGAUUGCAUCUAUCAUUAUUUACAGUGCAUCAACUUUUCUAUGAUCUGACUCAUGUCUUGUUUUUUUUGUGUGCUGCUUAUUAUCUCUUUUCUGUUCCCUCUUAAUAAAAUUCCAGCCAACAGACACACAAUAUGUGACUUUAGAUGAUGGGCGGAAGCUCUGCCUGGAGUGUCUAGAUUCUGCAAUAAUGGACACUAGCGAGUGCCAAACUCUUUACCUUGACAUCCAGGAGUUUUAUGAAGGUUUAAACAUGAAGGUGGAACAACAGNNNNNNNNNNNNNNNNNNNNCCAGCCAACAGACACACAAUAUGUGACUUUAGAUGAUGGGCGGAAGCUCUGCCUGGAGUGUCUAGAUUCUGCAAUAAUGGACACUAGCGAGUGCCAAACUCUUUACCUUGACAUCCAGGAGUUUUAUGAAGGUUUAAACAUGAAGGUGGAACAACAGAUUCCAUUACUUCUUGUUGAGAGGCAGGCUCUAAAUGAG